UGGGGAAUAUUGCACAAUGGGCGCAAGCCUGAUGCAGCCAUGCCGCGUGUGUGAAGAAGGCCUUCGGGUUGUAAAGCACUUUCAGCGAGGAGGAAGGUGGUGAACUUAAUACGUUCAUCAAUUGACGUUACUCGCAGAAGAAGCACCGGCUAACUCCGUGCCAGCAGCCGCGGUAAUACGGAGGGUGCAAGCGUUAAUCGGAAUUACUGGGCGUAAAGCGCACGCAGGCGGUUUGUUAAGUCAGAUGUGAAAUCCCCGGGCUCAACCUGGGAACUGCAUUUGAAACUGGCAAGCUAGAGUCUCGUAGAGGGGGGCUAGAAUUCCAGGUGUAGCGGUGAAAUGCGUAGAGAUCUGGAGGAAUACCGGUGGCGAAGGCGGCCCCCCUGGACGAAGACUGACGCUCAGGUGCGAAAGCGCGGGGAGCAAACAGGAUUAGAUACCCUGGUAGUCCACGCUGUAAACGAUGUCGAUUUGGAGGUUGUGCCCCUUGAGGCGUGG
rnacentral:rRNA from 1 species